rnacentral:rRNA from 1 species
GGGUGAGUAACACGUGGAUAACCUACCUAUAAGACUGGGAUAACUUCGGGAAACCGGAGCUAAUACCGGAUAACAUAUUGAACCGCAUGGUUCAAUAGUGAAAGGCGGCUUUGCUGUCACUUAUAGAUGGAUCCGCGCCGUAUUAGCUAGUUGGUAAGGUAACGGCUUACCAAGGCAACGAUACGUAGCCGACCUGAGAGGGUGAUCGGCCACACUGGAACUGAGACACGGUCCAGACUCCUACGGGAGGCAGCAGUAGGGAAUCUUCCGCAAUGGGCGAAAGCCUGACGGAGCAACGCCGCGUGAGUGAUGAAGGUCUUCGGAUCGUAAAACUCUGUUAUCAGGGAAGAACAAAUGUGUAAGUAACUGUGCACAUCUUGACGGUACCUGAUCAGAAAGCCACGGCUAACUACGUGCCAGCAGCCGCGGUAAUACGUAGGUGGCAAGCGUUAUCCGGAAUUAUUGGGCGUAAAGCGCGCGUAGGCGGUUUUUUAAGUCUGAUGUGAAAGCCCACGGCUCAACCGUGGAGGGUCAUUGGAAACUGGAAAACUUGAGUGCAGAAGAGGAAAGUGGAAUUCCAUGUGUAGCGGUGAAAUGCGCAGAGAUAUGGAGGAACACCAGUGGCGAAGGCGACUUUCUGGUCUGUAACUGACGCUGAUGUGCGAAAGCGUGGGGAUCAAACAGGAUUAGAUACCCUGGUAGUCCACGCCGUAAACGAUGAGUGCUAAGUGUUAGGGGGUUUCCGCCCCUUAGUGCUGCAGCUAACGCAUUAAGCACUCCGCCUGGGGAGUACGACCGCAAGGUUGAAACUCAAAGGAAUUGACGGGGACCCGCACAAGCGGUGGAGCAUGUGGUUUAAUUCGAAGCAACGCGAAGAACCUUACCAAAUCUUGACAUCCUUUGACCGCUCUAGAGAUAGAGUUUUCCCCUUCGGGGGACAAAGUGACAGGUGGUGCAUGGUUGUCGUCAGCUCGUGUCGUGAGAUGUUGGGUUAAGUCCCGCAACGAGCGCAACCCUUAAGCUUAGUUGCCAUCAUUAAGUUGGGCACUCUAAGUUGACUGCCGGUGACAAACCGGAGGAAGGUGGGGAUGACGUCAAAUCAUCAUGCCCCUUAUGAUUUGGGCUACACACGUGCUACAAUGGACAAUACAAAGGGCAGCUAAACCGCGAGGUCAAGCAAAUCCCAUAAAGUUGUUCUCAGUUCGGAUUGUA